GCCUUCGUGGUGUAAUGGUUAGCACGCUGGGCACUUACUCCAGAAGUGCGUGGUUCGAGUCCCGGCAAAGGCA
rnacentral:tRNA from 1 species